rnacentral:rRNA from 1 species
AUUGAACGCUGGCGGCAGGCCUAACACAUGCAAGUCGAACGAGUGGCGGACGGGUGAGUAAUGUCUGGGAAACUGCCUGAUGGAGGGGGAUAACUACUGGAAACGGUAGCUAAUACCGCAUACCAUCAGAUGUGCCCAGAUGGGAUUAGCUAGUUGGUGGGGUAACGGCUCACCAAGGCGACGAUCCCUAGCUGGUCUGAGAGGAUGACCAGUCAGAAUGGAACGGAGACACGGUCCAGACUCCUACGGUAGGCAGCAGUGGGGAAUAGUGCACAAUGGGAGCAAGCCUGAUGACGCCAUGCCGCGUGGAUGAAGAAGGCCUUCGGGUUGUAAAGUACUUUCAGCGGGGAGGGGUUACCCGCAGAAGAAGCACCGGCUAACUCCGUGCCAGCAGCCGCGGUAAUUC